GGCCUGAUGGUCUAGUAGUAUGAUUCCUUGUUAGGGUGUUUAUGGGGUGGUUGAGCAUCCCGUGAAACCGAUCGAGGAGGUCCUGGGUUCAAUUCCCAGUUAGGCCC